rnacentral:misc_RNA from 1 species
ACGAGUUAGGGCCUCUGGCCCGAAACCUCCAACCCUUUGUAUCAAAACCUCGUUGCCUCGGCGGAGCAGCCCGCCCCCGUAAAAGGGACUGGCCCCCCCGAUGGACCCCUAAACUCUGCAUUUUUUAGUGGAACGUUCUGAGUAAAGACUAAACAAUAAAUCAA